rnacentral:misc_RNA from 1 species
AACUGAUCCCAUGCUCAUGCAGGCACUGUUCAACCUGCAACGUCACCCAACGUGGACGCGGCCGGACGGCCGGCCCUUGCUAUCCUUGAGCGCACGCCAGGACUUGCAAAAGUGGCGUCACGACAGGGAUCACAUGAUCCACCACCAGACUUACGCCGCCUUUGUCCGGAGAUACGUCACUGCCAUCGUGACUCACGAGAACGUGACGGACGCGAGUGCGAACGGCUUCCACAGCGUGGACAACAUCGUGCACCGUGUCGUGACCGCGGAGGCGACUGUGCUCGCGCUUUCGUCGUUGUUGCCCGAGGAGGACCCGGACCAGUACUACGCCAUCGUUGACCUUUCGCUGCAGAACGGCUCCAUUCCGUCGACGAUUGCAUCACCGGAAGCGGAUGUCAUUCGCGAGACGGCUGUCGGACAUCCUGCCAUGCUGGCGUACAAGGACUUCCUGGAAGCCAGGAUGGCUGCGUCGGAGCUGUCUGGCUACGUCACGUGGGAGGUUGUGCGACAGCUUGGUCCGCUGGCGGAUCAAAAGCUUUCUCACGGCACCGUGGAGGGCAAAUGCUUCGACGCCGUCUACCAUUUGAUGCCUUACCCUAGCGUGCUGCCCUACCUGAAACAACUGGACUCGUCCAAGGGAUGGGAAGAGGCCGAUCUGGUGUACCGUGACGUUACCGAGACUCUCAUCCGCUUCAUGAGGAGGCGUGGCUUCGAGCUUCCGCACUCCAACGUCAGCUUCAUCCUGGACCUUCCCAAGGGGAAGCCAGUUGGACGCCUUCUAUGGUGAACUCCCGCUGCACGAGACAUCGCAGCAGCAACAGCCUUUCCUUGAGACGUACCUGGCCACACUGUCCCGGAUCCGAAGCAAGGAGAUCUUCAGCAUCGCCCACGGAGACACUGUGUUUACCUACCCUAUGCCCCCUCCGCAAAGCGGGAAAGCACAGGUCAGCAGCCACGGGAAGAGCCGCGUCCCGCUAACUUGGUUGCUCCCGCCGCGGUUCGGCGCCGACAUGCCUCCCGCGCUCAACGACGGCGGGCUGGGCAUAGGCCUAGCGGCGGCCCUAGCAAAGUCGUCCUACCUGGACCGGUCGUGGCUGGACUGCCUCGCGAACUUCGAGCCCCGAGCCGACCUGCAGGGCCAGGACUUCGCUCUGGCUCGCCUCACGCUCGUCGCCGAGGUCGUGGAAGAGUUCGUUGACCUGCACUCCGAGCUGGCGAGGCCUCUGAUGUUGCCGACCUUGGAGUCCAUGAGCGAGGACAAGCUCUUCUUCGUCGGUGCCUGCGUCGGGUUCUGCGCCAGGGGCGACCCCCAGGCGUCGCACCGGUGCAACGUGCCGGCGAGGAACUUGCCUCAUUUCGCGACGACCUUCGAAUGUCCGGCGGGAUCUUACAUGAACCCCCAACGACGUUGCCCUUACCCAAAUAAGACUGUGAGGGAACGCUAAGAACGUGUAAUUUAAAAC